GUCUCCCUUCGCCUGGGGCUCUCAGACCUGGAGAUCCUGGAUUCUGCGCCCGGGCAAGGGUCCCCAUGCCCUUGAACAAGGACUAUGUUGUCAGGCCCAAGUGGAAUGUGGAAAUGGAAUCAUCCAGGUUUCAGGGGACCUCCAAGAAGGGUAUCAGUCGACUGGAUAAACAGAUGAGAAAGUUCACAGACAUCAGGAAAAAAAGCAGAUCUGCACACGCAGUAAAAAUCAGCAUCGAGGGCAAUAAAAUGCCCUUGUGACUGCCUGGGAGGUUCCCCAUCGCUACUCUUAGGAAAUGCGCAAUGGACUCUUUGGAGAAAGAUGAUAUUUUAAAGACUUUUUUAGUGUACCUGUAAAUGAUUCAGCUUGUAUCAAAUGUCAUAGGAUUCGCAUUUCUCUCAGUUAUAUUUAAAACCAUUUGUUGUGCACUUUGUACAGAAGAAUAGUAGUCAUACUUCUAUAAACUUUACACAAUAAAAUUCCAUUCUGGUUUUGGG